rnacentral:sRNA from 1 species
AAACAGCUUAGCUACGGUGUUUGUCAACAGGACGAUUGUCAACCAACACGCCUUUGAAGGGGCGAGUAAAUUGAUGUGGAAAGUUUAGGGGUAAGCCAUGACCAGGAACUGGGAAGGUGCAUACAUGCAGCAACUGGGACUAUGGCCUAGAAUCGUGAUUAUUAGAGGAUACUUCAUCCGAACACCAAUGACCGGUAUAUCAACCUUCGAUACACGUGAAUGAACAGAAAUAAUCAUAUUCUAAGUUAAACAUGUUAAAUAACUGGACAAUGUAGAUAAGUAGAAACUUGCGUCGAACAUGUAAGUCAUUGAAGCCAUUAAUUAAGGUUCAAUAGCAUGUACAUGUAAUGCUGACACGACAUUGUUUAGCUAACUGUCAGCUAGCAAAGUAUUGAAUGUAAAUUAUUGGAUUAAACGUUUACAUUCCAAUUGUUAUUCGGUGUAUUCAAGCUCAAAGAUAUUAAGACCCUUUAAAUUGUAUUCAUUAAGUGUCGAUUAUUAACGGGUGUUGCUAAAACGCGGAACGGAACGGAAAUGGAAAAUAUCAUAUCACGUUUAUCGCUUUAAAAGGGUAUAGACUGGCCAGAAACGAUGUACUUUGUAUCAUUUAUUCAUAUUUGAUGGAUGAUAAUCAACGUGUGGAUGUCUUAUUGAUAUUCUUAUAAAUGUCUAUCAAAUUCAAUUGGCUUUAGUUAAGUACGAAACGGAAAAAAUCAAAUGUAUUCAAAUUAUGAAAUAUUAACAUGAUUAAAUGAAUAAAUAAGCUUUUACUUCUU